GCCUCUGUAGUUCAGUGGUCAAGAAUGCCGCCCUCUCACGGCGGUGACCCGAGUCCGAAUCUCGGCAGAGGCG
rnacentral:tRNA from 1 species